UCUUUAGAGACAGCAUCUCUCAAGAGAGUGGGUUAUAAUUUUUCAUGAAAAAGAAGGCAGGGAAAAUAAUUAUAUUUUCCAUUCUGGGGAGGGAACAAGCCUUGGAUAACACAGAAAGACAGAAAAGGAUGCUUCUCUAAAGACAGUCUCCCAAACAGGUACUCAACAAUUAUCACCGAAGAAGACCUCCUUAGAGGAUUUGCUGAAGCCAAGUUAGAUACAGGAUCUGAUUCUACUGCCAGGAUGUAAGAACCAUGAAGGCAAGAAAUUGGCCCUCAUCACUGUUGGCUCUGCCUAAUAAACUCCUGUGAAUGCCCAUGACAUACUUCUAAAGCCACUUUCCAGAUGAAACUUUCUCUAAAGUCCACAGGUAAAAU